rnacentral:tRNA from 1 species
GCGGGCGUAGCUCAGUGGUAGAGCAUAACCUUGCCAAGGUUAGGGUCGAGGGUUCGAAUCUCUUCGCCCGCU